rnacentral:lncRNA from 1 species
GUGGACUGGAUUGUUUCGAAGGGUCGUGCAUCUACUGAGGGUAUGACGGAGGUACAAGCUCAUUGGUGAAGAAUCACAGCUAUCUCACGUGGGGUGUGUUGAGGCUUGACAUCGACGUCGUAAUAUGAUCUUUAUCCUUUUGUGCUGGUGUGUUUGGUUGUAGGUGUCGUCGUGUUUUCUUUGGCCAUGUGCGGCCUAUUUUGCGGAGUCGGAGCUGCUUGUCCGAUGGGUCGAGCUCGGCAACGAUAACUCUGGAUGUGUUGUGUGUGAGGGGAUCCCGUUGUCGGCGAUGUUUGUGCAUUCUAUAUGCGGUGAGUGUUGUGCCGUGUUGGUGUCCCAAUCCAACCGACGAGUUUAGCGUGUUGGUGUCCCAAUCCAACCACCUGUUGUU